rnacentral:rRNA from 1 species
GAUGAACGCUGGCGGCGUGCUUAACACAUGCAAGUCGAACGGUGAAGCGCCUUCCUUUCUGGUGGGAGUGGAUGGGUGGCGAAGGGGGGAGUAACACGUGAGUAACCCUCCCCCUUUUUCUUGAUUACCGGAUGAAGGGGGUGCUAACAGGGGAUAUUUUGGGUCUCUUGGAUGAAUGGUCUGGUAAGGGUUUUUUUUCGGUUGUGGAUGGUGUCGCGGCCUAUUAGCUUGUUGUGGGGGUGAUGGACUACCAAGGCGGUGACGAGUAGCCGGCCUGAGAGGGUGGACGGUACCACUGGGAAUGCGCCACGGCCAAGACUCCGACGGGAGGCAGCAGUGGGGAAUAUUGAACAGUGGGGGCAAGCCUGAUGCAGCGACGCCGCGUGAGGGAUGGAGGCCUUCGGGUUGUGAACCUCUUUCGGCAGUGAAGCAGGCCUGCCUCGUUUGUGGGUGGGUUGACGGUAGCUGGAUAAGAAGCGCCGGCUAACUACGUG